ensembl:lncRNA novel transcript
AGAGCUAACUGAAGCCAUCCAGCAAAAUGUCGGCGUCUUCUUCGGGUAUGAAAUAUUAAUUGCACCCAAGCUUGGGCUGGAAGGCACUCAUCCCAGGGGCUUUGAACCAGGCUGGAGGUGACUUGCACAUUCUGCAGACCAGAGCAAUGCCAUUCCAGACCCCAAAAGGGGCCCUCAACUUCCUGACCCUUCUUGCUGUUCCUCCUGCAGCCCAAGGGGUCCUUCAGCCAGCUCCAGUUGUGGUGGGAGAGCUGCAGACUGCUCACGGCCUGCCCGGCCCCUGUGUCGACGGCCCCUCCCUAACCAUCCGGGCAUUCUUUGGAGGCCAGGCCCCUGGUGCUCUCAGGGUAAGGACAACUCCAGUGAGGUGAAUUAAAAUUCUUCUGCUUUGAAGAUUGUUUUAAGACUGCUGUGACAACCUGGAGAUCAUCACCAGCCUCCUGGGGUCCCAUCUGACCCCAGCUGUGAUGCCGUCUGCACGGCACCCUCCAUCAUCCCUAACGCAGACACCCCCAACUGAGCCUACAGACGAGGACACGCCUGACGCCGGCCCCAGGAGAACAUACUGACCUAAAAGAGGAGGCAGAAGUGGACGCUCUCGUCUCCUGCUGUGCAGAAAUGAAGGCAGCCUUUCAGCAGCCCUGCGUGGUAGCGUUCAUUAAACCCCUUAAAAA